GCACACUGAGCUCAGGCCUGCACCUGUUGUCAAUGCCUCCUUUUAGGCUUUUGGACACACCUCCAUUAGAUCUCUGCUGCAGCGGGCAGAUAACUCGAAGAGGUCGCGCAGAUGAAUCCUCUUCACGUGUUGGUUGCUUCUACCCCCGCCUGCCCUUUGCGUCCCUCUCUCUUGGUUCUAAUUCCCAUGAACUCUCUCUCUCUCUCUCUCUCUCUCUCUCUCUCUUCAUCACCCAUCCACAGUUCUCAUCUCCAAAGGGGGUUCCACUGUAUCAGCCUAGGACGGACCUCUUCUAUAUAUCUCUCAUUCCCCUUCUCUUGGUUUAUGCUCAUCUCUCCUCUCUUUUCUUUCUUGUUUCCGACUCAUGUCAUGUGCAGCCUCUCUUCCGGAUUGACCUUUUAUUUUGAUCGGUAUCUUCUUAUCAUUCUUCUCUUCUUCCUUCUUUGACAUGCUUUAUGGUGAUUUAUACAGCCUUUUUUUGUGCCUCGGUCAUGCACAUAUGUAGUGUCUUGGGUGGUCAACUCUUGUUGUCUUUCUUUGUUUCUUGGAAGCUCAAAAUAGGGUUGGAAGGAAAUUAUCUGUAUGUUUAGGAUCAUAUCAUCCUGCGAUGAUUCUCCUUUAUUAUCAUCAUGUUCUCAGAAAUGCAUGUACUGGCUAUAUUUCUGCCCUUUUCUUUGCCUGUUGACAUGUGUGCAGCUCUGCCUGGUGAAGAUAGAAAUUAGGGUUUCGUAGAUGGGGUUACUCAUACUAAAGACCCCUUCCAUUGCUGGGAAGAACUGUGAAGGGUUUGAAUCAGCUGCCGACUCAUUCGCUCAAACACCCAGUAGAAAGGAAGCGGACACAAUUCUCUACUCCACAUGGCAGAAGAAGGAAAAGGGUUUGGGUUCUGAGAUUGCUACUGUGUGAAUGAGUGAAUGAUGCGGGAGAUUAUUCUCUCUCUUCCAUUCCAUACUUGGACUGAAGGGAGCUCCCUCUCUCUCUUCUUUUACAUGCGUUGGCCAUUGCACCUCUUCCUCUAUCUUCUUCCUCCUUCACCAUCUUCUUCGAAGCAAGAUAACAUCCCAGGAAUUCAGCGAGUAGUUAUGAACCCAAUCUCAAGUUGGAACUCGAGAGAUGAUAUUGUGGCCUCCUCCCUCAUCUUUGGCAAUCCCUUUCUCAUCUCUGCCCAUCUUGAAACUUGAGCAAGGCACCAUAAUUAAGAGCUGCACUUGUAGAUUUGUUUCAAGGCUCGGCACUGUGUGUGUCUCCACCACUGCAUCAAAGAUUUGAAAAGAUUCAGGAUGCUGCUCCUCGUGCAUCAACAGUGAAAGUACAGUUCUGCUCAGGUCUACAAACUCAAAAUGAGAUGUCAUCAGUGCUGUCCGCAUGUGGUUCUUUAGAAUUGUAGUCACUGUUUUGGAUGCUCUCUCUUCCGCUCUGCAAAUUAAAUAUUGCUGAUGUCUUCAAAGAUUGCCUGUAAAGGUGUUGAUCACACGAGACAUGGCAGUGACAUUUGUGACUGCAGCGUGUGGAAGUACACACCACUUCAUUA